AUUGUGAUAGGAAACCGAAUACUACAACAAACUCGAAGAACCAACAGAUGAAGAGAAUGAUAUGCUAGAUCUUGCUUUUGGGUUAACAGAAACGUCGCGAUUGGGAUGUCAAGUCAUUGCCAAACCAGAGCUAGAUGGAGUACGCUUAGCCAUUCCUUCAGCUACCAGAAAUUUUGCGGUUGAUGGGUUUGUUCCAAAACCUCACUAGUCACACUAAAGCCUCGGAGCUGAGGGGUUAUUUUGAGUUUACACUGGUUUACUAUCCGAAAAUAAACUCAUUACAUAUAAUUGCCCUUAGGGAGUUAUACAAAUGUAUUUCAGACGGUGAGCUUUCAAUUGCAGCAUUGUCUUAUUGUUUCUUGAGUUUGAUUUAGUUUUUUUGACAAAGCUAAAGAUAUAGAUGAACAGAUCAAUAUACAUAUGAUCAGAAAUUCGAAAGCGCUUUGAUCA